UGCCCAGACUCCUACGGGAGGCAGCAGUGGGGAAUAUUGCACAAUGGGGGAAACCCUGAUGCAGCGACGCCGCGUGAGUGAAGAAGUAAUUCGUUAUGUAAAGCUCUAUCAGCAGGGAAGAAAAUGGCGGCACCUGAGUAAGAAGCCCCGGCUAACUACGUGCCAGCAGCCGCGGUAAUACGUAGGGGGCAAGCGUUAUCCGGAUUUACUGGGUGUAAAGGGAGCGUAGACGGCAGUGCAAGUCCGGAGUGAAAGCCCGGGGCUCAACCCUGGGACUGCUCUGGAAACUGUAAAGCUGGAGUGCGGGAGGGGCAGGCGGAAUUCCUGGUGUAGCGGUGAAAUGCGUAGAUAUCAGGAGGAACACCGGCGGCGAAGGCGGCCUGCUGGACCGUAACUGACGUUGAGGCUCGAAAGCGUGGGGAGCAAACAGGAUUAGAUACCCCGGUAC
rnacentral:rRNA from 1 species